GCUUUCCUGUGGCUCAGUUGGUAGAGCACUGUGUUAACAAUGCAAAGAUCCUGGGUUCAAAUUCCAGGGAAAGCA